AAAAUACUGUAGCGGUAUUUACAACAUGCAGACUGUUCCUUAUGCUUCUCCUGCUUGAAGGGAGACUUCCAGCUUUUCACACAAUUAGAAAGAUGGACCCUACUUAACACCAUGUGUAGAAAAAAUCGAGGAAGCAUCACAGCUACUUUAGGAGUCCACAGCAAUCCUCAAGCACAGAGUUACUCCUGUGAAACUCUGCACAUCAGGUUCUAGACACAGGAGAGGGUGCUAAGAAGUAUGUCAAUCCAGCGAUCCACUAGGAUGAUGACAGAGUAAUACUGACCAAGGUGCAUCCCUGGAAGUCAAUGGGAUCCAUCACCCGUUGGGGCUGAACAAUCUGAAUAAGUCCCCCACCCUUGCAAGAUCAGAAACUGCUAGUAUCCUGCACUCCACCAGACAAUUUGGAAAGCAUAUCUCCUACAUUUUGGCAGAUUGAAUGUCGACAAAACUGGUGGGAUCAUAUAAUGUCAUUAAGAGGAUGAGAUGAAGAGUAUUGGAUAUGUCACCCAUAAAGCAUGAAAUCUGAGACUUCGCAGCAGUGAAAAGCAGAAUUUCUGUGCCGUGUCCAUUGGAGUAACUAGGAUCUUCUUGUUGGAUGAAAUAUGGCGUUUUCUUUGCAUUUGUGCAGCCGAGUUCUAAUCAUGCUUACUCUGAAGUAAGUCUGCCUUAUUUCAACAGGGUUUGGUUCCAAGUAAGUAUGUUUAGGAUUACAGCUUGUAAGUGUGUUUAGGAUUACAGUCUCCCUGCAAACAAAUUUGUGAAACGUUUAUAAUUUUAUUAAUGAUUAACUUUGAUCCCUAAGUUAUCUAAAUAUUUUUAAUUGGAGGUUAAUGGAUUAAAUCAUAAUGAUAGUAGAUAGAACAGAGUGAUACGACAGAGAGUUGAAAUUCUGGUUGAUAUAUAAGACAUAUGGGAGAUGUGAGUUACUGCAUUUGUGUAAUUUUUUUUCCUAUUUUUCUUCUUCCUUCCUUUCCUUGCUGUAA